GGUGGUUCUCGGGUGACGCACCCCAGAAUCAGGCUCCUUCCUCUCUGGUUCCGGGUGUGUCAUUCGAGAACCUCA
rfam:Myotis davidii contig6244, whole genome shotgun sequence.